UACGUAGGGGGCUAGCGUUGUCCGGAUUCAUUGGGCGUAAAGCGCGUGUAGGCGGCUUUGCAAGUCGGGUGUGAAAGCCCUCAGCUCAACUGAGGAAGUGCGCCCGAAACUGCAGAGCUUGAGUGCCGGAGAGGGUGGCGGAAUUCCCCCAAGUAGAGGUGAAAAUUCGUAGAUAUGGGGGAGGAACACCGGUGGCGAAGGCGGCCACCUGGACGGUAACUGACGCUGAGACGCGAAAGCGUGGGGAGCGAACAGG
rnacentral:rRNA from 1 species